rnacentral:rRNA from 1 species
AGAGUUUGAUCCUGGCUCAGAACGAACGCUGGCGGCGUGGAUAAGACAUGCAAGUCGAACGGAUUUGUCGGUGUAGCAAUACAUUGGCAGGUCAGUGGCGCAAGGGUGCGUAACACGUGGGCAACCUGCCCUGGAGUCUGGGAUAGCCCGCCGAAAGGCGGAUUAAUACCGGAUGUGGCUACCUGCCGAUUGGUGGGGACGCUAAAGGUGGCGCAAGCUGCCGCUCCUGGAUGGGCCCGCGGCCUAUCAGCUAGUUGGUGAGGUAACGGCUCACCAAGGCUAUGACGGGUAGCUGGUCUGAGAGGACGACCAGCCACACUGGAACUGAGACACGGUCCAGACACCUACGGGUGGCAGCAGUCGAGAAUUUUUCGCAAUGGGGGAAACCCUGACGGAGCGACGCCGCGCGGAGGAUGAAGGUUUUCGGAUUGUAAACUCCUGUCAUUGGUGAACAAAGCACUCGCGUUAACUGCGUGGGUGCCUGCUAGUGGCCGAAGAG